rnacentral:rRNA from 1 species
UACGGAGGGUGCAAGCGUUGUUCGGAAUUAUUGGGCGUAAAGCGCGUGUAGGCGGCUAUUUAAGUCUGAUGUGAAAGCCCGGGGCUCAACCUCGGAAGUGCAUUGGAAACUGGAUAGCUUGAGUACGGGAGAGGGUAGUGGAAUUUCGAGUGUAGGGGUAAAAUCCGUAGAGAUCACCAGGAAUACCCAUUGCGAAGGCGACUUACUGGACUGUAACUGACGCUGAGGCACGAAAGCGUGGGGAGCAAAC